UCUGAUCAUGGAAGUUAAGCAAUGUUGAGCCUGGUCAGUACCCAGAUGGGUGACCGCUUGGGAAUAUUAGGUGCUGUAA